GGUGAACGCUGGCGGCGUGCUUGACACAUGCAAGUCGAACGGUAUGUGGCAACACAUAGAGUGGCGAACGGGUGAGUAACACGUGGGAACGUAUCUUUUGCAGGGGGAUAACUGACCGAAAGGACAGCUAAUACCGCAUAAGUCCGGGAGGAGAAAGGUGCAACAGCAUAGGCAGAAGAGCGGCCCGCGGUCCAUCAGCUAGUUGGUGAGGUAAGGGCUUACCAAGGCGACGACGGAUAGCCGGCGUGAGAGCGUGGCCGGCCACAAGGACACUGAGAUACGGGUCCUACUCCUACGGGAGGCAGCAGUGCGGAAUUUUAGAUAAUGGAGGGAACUCUGAUCUAGCGACGCCGCGUGCAGGAAGAAGGUCUUCGGAUUGUAAACUGCUGUGGUAAGGGAAAAUGCUAUGUAGAGUGGAAAGCUACAUAGAGGGAUGGUACCUUACUAGAAAGCCCCGGCUAACUACGUG
rnacentral:rRNA from 1 species